rnacentral:rRNA from 1 species
CCAAUAGCGUAUAUUAAAGUUGUUGCAGUUAAAAAGCUCGUAGUUGAAUUUUAGGCCUGACCGGGCGGUCCGUCUUUGGCGAGUACUGUUCUGUGUCGGGUCUUACCUUCUGGUGAAACCGGCAUUUUCUGAAGCGAGUGUGCCGGGGAGCCAGGACCAUUACCUUGAAAAAAUUAGAGUGUUUAAAGCAGGCAUUUGCUUGAAUAGAUUAGCAUGGAAUAAUAAAAUAGGACGUUGGUUCUAUUUUGUUGGUCUAGGACCACCGUAAUGAUUAAUAGGGAUAGUUGGGGGCAUUAGUAUUCAAUUGUCAGAGGUGAAAUUCUUGGAUUUAUUGAAGACUAACUAUUGCGAAAGCAUUUGCCAAGGAUGUUUUCAUUAAUCAAGAACGAAAGUUAGGGGAUCGAAGACGAUCAGAUACCGUCGUAGUCUUAACCAUAAACUAUGCCGACUAGGAAUCGGGCGACGCUAUUUUCAUGACUCGCUCGGCGCCUUAUG